UACGUAGGGGGCGAGCGUUGUCCGGAUUUAUUGGGCGUAAAGAGCUCGUAGGCGGUUCGAUAAGUCGGAUGUGAAAUCUCCACGCUCAACGUGGAGAGGCCAUUCGAUACUGUCGUGACUCGAGUCCGGUAGGGGAGUGUGGAAUUCCCGGUGUAGCGGUGAAAUGCGCAGAGAUCGGGAGGAACACCCGUAGCGAAGGCGGCACUCUGGGCCGUGACUGACGCUGAGGAGCGAAAGCUAGGGGAGCGAACAGG
rnacentral:rRNA from 1 species